rnacentral:misc_RNA from 1 species
UCCUGGUUUCCCAGGCAGUCCCACCAGAGUGCCUGCCUUACGGCAGUAGCAACUGGUGGCAAGGGUUGCGCUCGUUAGAGGACUUAACCUAACGUCUCACGACACGAGCUGACGACAGCCAUGCAGCACCUGUGAAAUUGUCUAAACCGAAGCCUAGAAAACUGUAUUUCUACAGCGAUCAAAAACAUGUCAAGCCCAGGUAAGGUUCCUCGCGUAGUGUCGAAUUAAACCACAUGUUCCACCGCUUGUGCGGACCCCCGUCAAUUCCUUUAAGUUUUAAUCUUGCGAUCGUACUCCCCAGGCGGAUCACUUAACGCGUUAGCUACGACACCAAUCCGGCAAAGCCAGACUGACGUCUAGUGAUCAUCGUUUACAGCGUGGACUAC